UGUACAGCCUGUAGGCCUGUGGACUGGGGUAGAGGAUGAGGGUCUUGUGGUUAAGUUCCACGAACAGGGCUGUGAGCCCCGAGCCUGUCCGACUCAGCGUCAGCGAGAAUGUGUUGUGAGCAAAGUCCUGGGCCAGGAGGAUGCUGCCGCACUGGGUGCUGAGGUCCCAUACCCGGCCGUCGAAGGUCACCACGUGCUGGGCCCCAGCCACCAGGGCAUGGUCUGGGUAGAAGCAGCCCAAAGGCAGGGUGAGCGGGGCCAGCUCCACCCACCGCAGUAGGAGCCCAAUGCCUGCUGGGUGCCCCGGAUGCCUAGAGCUUUGGCUUAGCCUGCCCUGAGGCCUGGAUUCCCC
rnacentral:lncRNA from 1 species